rnacentral:lncRNA from 1 species
GAGCAGCUCAACCAAAGCGGAGAGGAGAUGUUGGGCAAGAAAGGAAGUCUUUCCUUCAGCCAUCAAGCCUUCAACCAAGCAUAACUGAUCCUCUCUCUUGAGGAGAGAUCGGAGUAGAGAGUGUAUCCAUGAACCAACUUUACUUCAAGACUACAGCUGUCCUUUUGGAAAGACAUACCGGGCAUACUCAUCUGACUACUAGCUUUGGCUAGCAGGACUGGGAGAAAAGCCUUAUCGAUUGACUCGCCUACGCCGACUGGGUUAGGAUUAGGUAUCACAUUGGAGAUUGUCAUAUCUUUCUUGUAAACAAAACAGCAUUUAUUGUUUUCCAGGAGUGAAGCUACUGUCCCAAUAGGUGAAUGAGCUAACCCUCUGACAGAGGAACCAGCUCUGACAUAAGCGAUUGGAAGAUCUGAUCUUUCUUUGAAGACCGGUCCGAUCCGAUUGAAGUUGAAGUCAAAAAAGAAGUCGAGGUUCUGAAAGAAACAAAUCAAUCAUUGUAUUGUCAGCUUAAGGUAAAAUUUAUUAUUUUCUUUUAAUAAGAUGAUUGGGCCCUACAGUGGUAUAACCGGGUGAACCUCUCUCCUAUAGGCCACUCAAACAUAGAGAGAUUAGGGACCGAAUGGCCAGCCCUCCCUACUAUAUCUCAGUUUCUAUCGGCCGGUGUCGGUGUCAGCCAAGGAAACGGACCCUAUGAGAUGAGUUAGAAAACGAGGUCCCACUCCGACUAAAGGAAGUGGCUAGCCUUGGAAGUUUCUGGCAAUGAAGCAGACAAGAUAAUAUAAACAAGAUCCAAUUCCGAGUCCCGAGAUGAUUUCUUUUCGAUUAGGACACGCAGCCACAACAGGGAAGCAGUCAGGAAUGCAGCAGGAGUGGAAAGGGAUAACAUGAGAUUAGGGAAAGGAGCCGUUAGGCCACUCGAUGAAAGGAAGAAUAGCAGCUGCCAAAGCAAAGCAAAAGGCCAGGCAUUGGACUAGUGGAAUGAAACCUUAUCCCAUUAUGGAGUGAGAACCUGAUAUUCUUUUAUCAAAAGACAUGGCCUCCCCUAAUGGACUUUGGAACAGAUACACGAGCCACUAUCUUAGAUACCAUCUUUCUUGAGUAGCCGGAAGAGUCACUAAUAGGCUAGGACAGGAGCCUGAAGUAGACCCGCGGGGAAGAAGCCGAAGUAAGAACAAUAGACCUUUCUUAGCCAAAACAGCUAGAAGCGUCCUCCCAUUCUUUAAUGGAAUGCGGGGAAAAAGGGAGGAGAGGGCCAGCCAAGGACAAACGGGAUUAGGUCCCACAUUCUCUCAGGUAUGGGGUCUCACCUACUAUGCCAUUUCCCCAUCCAUCUUUCUUUGAAGGCCGAGUGAACGAAAGGAUAAACGCAAGCUAAAAAACCAAACUUAUAGCAUUUAAUGGUAGAAGAGUAGCCUACCAAAGAGUUUAGGUCAGGGAUCAAAGGAGAUUGAUAGGUCGCACAUUCGCUCAGUGAGGAGCGAGAAGAAAGAGUUCCCAGCCCGGCCAUCAUCUAUGUCUUAGUUCGAACCAUUAUUAAGAGAAAGGAACUUUACUUUGGGAAAGAUCAGUGACUAGACGGGCCAUCAUCUUGGGGGAGGGAAAGCCUUUCUUUUGUUCCAUUCCAGGAGAAGAAUGCCAUGCCACUCAACCAGAGGCAGAGAAAAAGACAAUGAAAAACAGAAGGAAGGUUGAUUCGAAGGAUCUCCCUUAGCCCUUCAAGAAAGCUGGCACACACGGAAAGAGAAAAGGAUUGAACAUUAGUACUGGAUUCUUGAUCCCCUGAUCUUGAUAUAUGAAUAGGACGGACGAAGUCAAAGACGAAGAGAGAUCAUAACAGGCACAAAAGGCCAAUUAACAAAGCGAGAGUAGGGAUCUCUUCUCUUCAGACGGGGAGGGCUCUUCCAGCACUCUUUCCAGCUAGAAGAAAGCAACCAACAAAGCCAGACAGCAAUCAAGAGAGUGGGGC